GCUUACGGCCACACUGCUUGGUUCACCCCCGCUCUCGUUUGAUCUCGAAAGCUAAGGUAGGUUGGGCCUGGUUAGUAUUUGGAUGGGAGACCGCCUGGGAAUACCAGGUGCUGUAAGCU
rnacentral:rRNA from 1 species